rnacentral:rRNA from 1 species
ACGUAGGGUGCGAGCGUUAAUCGGAAUUACUGGGCGUAAAGGGUGCGCAGGCGGCUUCGCAAGUCAGACGUGAAAUCCCCGAGCUUAACUUGGGAAUUGCGUUUGAAACUACGAGGCUAGAGUGUGGCAGAGGGAGGUGGAAUUCCACGUGUAGCGGUGAAAUGCGUAGAUAUGUGGAGGAACACCGAUGGCGAAGGCAGCCUCCUGGGCUAACACUGACGCUCAUGCACGAAAGCGUGGGGAGCAAACAGGAUUAGAUACCCUGGUAGUCCACGCCCUAAACUAUGUCUACUAGUUGUUGGGGGAGUUAAAUCCCUUAGUAACGCAGCUAACGCGAGAAGUAGACCGCCUGGGGAGUACGGUCGCAAGAUUA